rnacentral:rRNA from 1 species
CCUACGGGAGGCAGCAGUGAGGAAUAUUGGUCAAUGGCCGGAAGGCUGAACCAGCCAUGCCGCGUGAAGGUCAGUGCCCUAUGGGCGUUAAACUUCUUUUGUGCGGGAGCAAUAAUGGUCACGUGUGGCCAGACGAGAGUACCGUACGAAUACGCAUCGGCUAACUCCGUGCCAGCAGGCGCGGUAAUACGGGGGAUGCAAGCGUUAUCCGGAUUUAAUGGGUUUAAAGGGUGCGUAGGCUGUGAGGUAAGUCAGCGGGGGAAUGCCCCCGCUCAACGGGGUGAAGUGCCAUUGAUACUGCCUUGCUGGAAUGCGGAUGCCGUGGGAGGAAUGUGUGGUGUAGCGGUGAAAUGCAUAGAUAUCACACAGAACACCGAUUGCGAAGGCAUCUCACGAAUCCGCGAUUGACGCUGAUGCACGAAAGCGUGGGUAUCAAACAGGAUUAGAUACCCUAGUAGUC